rnacentral:tRNA from 1 species
UCCCUGGUGGCUCAGAUGGUAAAGAAUCUGCCUGCAGUGCAGGAGACCCAGGUUCAUUCCCUGGGCUGGGAA